GGUGGUAUUCAGCUCUAACUGAAGGUAUUUACUUUUGAACUUGGUCAGUAAAUACCUACUUCUUAGUGUCAUAACCUGAACAUGUCCUACCACUACAGCUCUGGAACAAGGCAAUCAAAGCUUAACCCUCAGUGUUAGUAAGAAGCUCCAAGAAGCAGUGGUGAUAUUACAGAAAGCAGCUAUUGUUGCAUGGUUCUUUGUUACUAAACUGAUGAAAAUUGUGAAGGAUGAUGAUGGGGCAGCUUCAAAACAUGGCAGCUAAUAAAAAAAAAAUAAAAAUUAACAGUAAUAAAAUGGAGCUUUUGUCGCUAACUCAUUUACUAGCAUGAAAAAAGUGUUAUGUUGAUGAUGGGGAGAAUUUGCUCUGUAUUAUAGUCUUAACUAAUAAAAUGCUACAAUAAUGCUGUGAAAUUGAAGAUUUUAGCUCCUGUUUUAUGAGUCUGAGCUUUCAAAGUAAUGAGUGUACAUUAACAUCUACAUUGCCUGGGGCUGGAUGGAAGUUUAGAUAAGUGACCUUCAUAUCUCAUACUUCAAUACUUACUGCAGCAUCUGUAAGAAGAUGUAAAGCUCUUUUUGUCUAUAUCCCUGCUUUUUGUUGGUUUUGAGGCAACUCAUUUUCCUCUUUGACUUGUUACCUUUGUGUUCUUCAUAGGCAGGGUAGGUCUAGUUUCUUUCUGUGUUUCAGUAUUCUUGUUUUCAUUAUGUUAUCCUAGAUGCCAAUGUCUCCUUCUUUUAUAAAUCACCUAUGACUGCCUCAUUCUUCUCUGCCUUCCACCUUGCAUACUAAUUUACCUUUGUGUGACCAGAGUAAGAAAAACAGCAGGAAAAAAUAAGGAUGAGAUGGAAGGGCAUUUCCAGUGGAACAGCUCAUGCCUAACACUGUGAUGAAGAUUUCCACUUCAUCUGCAAAGAACUCUAUUCUGCAGCUACUAAUGUCUACCACUGGAAAAAUGCUUAGCCAUGGAAGAGAGGAUAUAAGAAGGAGAAGAAUUUAUCUUCAGUGAGAUUAAUGGUGUACAGCUCAGUACCAUUUUAGUAUUCUGUAACCCUGGGCUUUAACACCUGGCCUGUGCAACAGUCACAAAUGGCUGGUUGUCUUAACUUAAAUCAGAGUAAUUUGUGAUGUUGUUUUAAUGUUGAACUCAGUCAUGUAAUCCUUGUUACCAGGGCCCCAUCUUUUCCUUUGUUAUUGCAACAUGCAGUGCCUCAGAGUAGGCACUCUGUCAGCCUGUGGUGGUACCUUGUCAGAGCACGGGUAAGUGCCAUGUGCUCUCUUUGUGACCCAGGCCUCACAUGUGCACAUUCGUCUUGGUUACACUUCAGAGACAUUAAUAAUCACAAUUUAAAUAGCUUAAAAGAGAGUAAUGAGCUCACCUGAACAUCUCUGUAAGAAUAUUUAUCAAUCAUUAGAGAAAGACUCAAAAAAGUGAAAAAUUAGCAUACCAGAAGCUGUGUAAUAAAAACUGUAACACUAGAUAUUAGAAAGAUUAA
rnacentral:lncRNA from 1 species